rnacentral:misc_RNA from 1 species
GUAGGUAAGUAAAACGGUGUUUCACUCCGACCCGUCGGGACUCUGAUAGCUAACUGUGUUUUUAGGUGAACCUGCGGAAGGAUCAUUAAUGAGUUAGGGUCUUCUAGGCCCGACCUCCCAACCCAUUGUUUACUGUACAUAUGUUGCUUCGGCGGACCCGCCUUGAUUGACCGCCGGAGGGCUGCUGAGAGGCGUCCUCUGGCCAGCGUUCGCCGAUAGCCCACCUAAAGAAAACUCCGAAUAACCGUGAAUUUUUAUGUCUAAGUCUUAUGAUUAAAUUAAAUCAAAACUUUCAACAACGGAUCUCUUGGUUCUG